UACCAAAAAUAGUCAUUUGGCAACCCAGAAUAAGACAUGUAUAAAAUCCCGCAGGAGAGUUUAACAUUAGUGUGGGUCAGGAAGUCCCACUACACUUACGAGAUGACGAAUUCAUUUCUUCUUUUCUUCUUCGUGGUUUUCGCGAUGCUCAACUCCGCUCUGCCAUACGAAUUCAGUUACGGCAGUC